UCAUAGAAUUUCUUUAAAUUCAUGAUGUCGUAAGGGAAAAUAAUGAUAUUACCUUACUAUGAGUGUCGUCCAAAGCUGGUGCCAGAAGACUCGGUAAGACCAGAGACGCAAACGUUAAUCAUCUUAAACAGGCGUAAAGGGUUUGUAGGCAGCUUUCAUAAUAUUAUUUCUUACAAAAAUAAAGAAGUGGUCUGAUUGAAAGCUAGAAUCAAAAAGAGGUUAUAGUGUAUAACGCCUAGAGGAGGGCUGAUAUCCUUAGAUCCUAGGCAGAAUACUUAGGGCGAAGGCCACUCUCCACUAAUGAUUGACGCUGAGAAACGAAGGUAAGGGUAGGAAAUAGGAUUAGAUACCCCGGUACUCCUUUCUGUAAACGAUGAAUGGUAGUCAUUAGUAAAAUUAAAAAUUACUAGAGACGAAGUUAACACAAUAACCAUUCCGCCUUGUGAGUACAACUGCAAAGUAGAAAACAAAAAAAUUAGUCGGUCUCGAAGCAAACGGAGUGAAGCAUGUUAUUUA
rnacentral:rRNA from 1 species